CAACAUAGCAAGGGUGAACGCAUCCUGACAGCUGAGGAAGUUACUGUCAGAUACUGUACUUUAUGUAUAUGUUUCUAUGCUUAAAUACGUGUUAGUAGAUCAGGUGAAAUUUGCUAGUUAGAUAAUUCAUUGGGUAAGUUAGUUAACUUUAGCCAUGUGUAGCUGCAGUGAUGAGUUGGUAUAGUGUAUAGUUGGUACUGUUGUUGCCUGAAUUUCCAAGGGUUGCUGGUUCAGUUCUCAGCUUUGUAUAAUUUUGUAGAGUUUUACAGUUCCUCCUGGGCUAGUGUGGGUUUCCUACAGGUUCUCCAGUUUUCUCCCACAUCUUGAAAAUACGCCACUUAAUGGUUUAGCUAAUGGUCUGACUUGGGAGACUACCACGACUCUGAGAUCUGUAUCUGAAACCAUUACUCCAUACAGAAUCUCUCCAGAUCCUUCAAAUUUCGAGGUCCACGCUGGUGGACUCUCCUCUUCAGUUCACCCCACAGGUUUCCUAUGGGGUUCAGGUCAGGGGACUGGGAUGGUCAUGGCAGGACCUUGAUUUUGUGGUCAGUAAACCAUUUUUGUGUUGAUUUUGAUGAUGUUUUGGAUCAUUGUCCUGCUGGAAGAUCCAACCACGGCCCAUUUGAAUCUUUCUGGCAGAGACAAUCAGGUUUUCAUUUAAUAUCUGUUGAUAUUUGAUAGAGUCCAUGAUGCCAUGUAUCCUAACAAAAUGUCCAGGUCCUCUGGCAGAAAAACAGCCCCAAAACAUUAAAGAUCCAUCUAAAUAUUUAACCGUGUGCAUGAGGUACUUUUCCAUAUGGCUACCUCUCUGUGUGCUCCAAAACCACCUCUGUGUUUAUUACCAAAAAGCUCUAUUUUGGUUUCAUCUGACCGUAGAACCCGAUCCCAUUUGAAGUUCCAGUAGUGUCUGCACACUGAAGACGCUCGAGUUUGUUUUUGGAUGAGAGUAGAGGCUUAUUUUUAUGAUUUUUUUUUAACAAAAGCUCAAAAAUGUCACGUAAUAUAGGUGCAGGACAGAAGCAAGUGCAGG
ensembl:lncRNA